rnacentral:sRNA from 1 species
UACGUGAUGAUAAAUGCGAUGGCCAUGGU